rnacentral:rRNA from 1 species
CGUAGGGUGCGAGCGUUAAUCGGAAUUACUGGGCGUAAAGUGUGCGCAGGUGGCCGCGCAUGUCGAGUGUGAAAUCCCCGGGCUUAACUUGGGAAUUGCGCUCGAAACUACGUGGCUGGAGUGUGGCAGAGGAAGGUGGAAUUCCAGGUGUAGCGGUGAAAUGCGUAGAGAUCUGGAGGAACACCGAUGGCGAAGGCAGCCUUCUGGGCCAACACUGACACUCAUGCACGAAAGCGUGGGGAGCAAACAGGAUUAGAUACCCUGGUAGUCCACGCCCUAAACGAUGAUGACUAGUUGUUGGAGGAGUUAAAUCCUUUAGUAACGUAGCUAACGCGUGAAGUCAUCCGCCUGGGGAGUACGGUCGCAAGAUUA